GGACUACAAGGGUUUCUAAUCCGUUUUGCUCCCCACGCUUUCGUGCCUCAAUGUCAGGAACAGAAUAGUUAACUGCCUUCGCCGUUAUUGGUGUUCUUCCAUAUAUCGUUGCAUUUUACCGCUCCACAUGGAGUUCCGUUAACCUCUCCUGCCCUCCAGUCGAAUAGUAUUAAUAGUUUCCACAAGGUUAGGCCUCGAUUUCCCACUACUAACUUAUUCGACCAUCUACGCACCCUUUACGCCCAAUAAUUCCGGAUAACGUUCGCCACCUACGUCUUACCGCGGCUGCUGGCAC
rnacentral:rRNA from 1 species